CAGAAAACCCAAUAUUAUGAUUUAAAGUUUUCCAGAACUGAGGAAGAUCUGAGUGUGGACCUUGCCUCAUGGUAGGAGGAUAGUGUAAGCUUCGGCAUCCCUAAUGGGUGAAGGUGCAUCUAAGGGGAGAAAUCUUAAGAAGAAAUGCAGUGCAGAAAGCAAGGAAGAUUUGGAAGUUUCCACUCCGAUUGUGAGAAGUGACCUCUAAGGAACUGAAUAUCAAUUGGCCUUUCUCCUUCUGAUUGCCUUCUGAUUGAUGUCUUUCCUACUGUGAAAGAAAUCUAUAGCUGUUAACAAGACAGCUUGCAAUGAUUAGUUGCUCUGUUCAAUGACCUCUUCUUUUUUUAUUGCCACUUUCUUAAUUAUAAUAAAUUAACUGCCA
rnacentral:lncRNA from 1 species